rnacentral:rRNA from 1 species
CAGUAGCCGCGGUAAUACGUAGGGUGCAAGCGUUAAUCGGAAUUACUGGGCGUAAAGCGUGCGCAGGCGGUGUUGUAAGACUGAUGUGAAAUCCCCGGGCUCAACCUGGGAACUGCAUUGGUGACUGCAGCGCUGGAGUGCGGCAGAGGGAGAUGGGAUUCCGCGUGUAGCAGUGAAAUGCGUAGAUAUGCGGAGGAACACCGAUGGCGAAGGCAAUCCCCUGGGCCUGCACUGACGCUCAUGCACGAAAGCGUGGGGAGCAAACAGGAUUAGAUACCCCUGUAGUCCCUGUCUCUUAUAC